rnacentral:lncRNA from 1 species
UUCCAGAUGGGCCUGAAAUCCAAUGACAGGUGUUCUUUUAGGAGAGACACAGAGGAGAGGGAGAGGCCCCCAAAGUCAGGCCGAGGCUGAGGAGAUUUGCCACAAGCCACGGGAUAUCUGGAGCCACCAGGAAGUGGCAGAGGUGAGGAAGGAUCUACCUCUGCUGACAUUCUGAUUUCUAACUUCCACUACCCAGAACUGUUACAGAAUGCCUCUGAUCUUAAGCCACCCAGUUUGUGGCAAUUUGUUACAGCAGCCACAGGAAACAGAGUUCAAAGUCAAAGUCCUUCACAGGGGCCCUGGCCCUCACCUCUUACCACCCUGGCCUCCUUCCUUUCUUCAGCAGGUGAAACAUGUGGUCUCCCCAGGGCCUUUGCACUCCCUGUUCUCUUUUCUCUGAUUUGUGCUCACAUGCAUGCUUGCUAGAAAGCCCUUCUCUUAUAGACUAACACACACCCCUCAAGUCUGUGUGUGCACAAGACGUUUUCUGUUUGUUCAUUUAAAACCCAACAUAUAUAUGCAUAUCUAUGUGUGUAUAUUUAUAUAGGCUUGGGUGUAGCUCAGUGGUAGAGCACUUGUCACCGUGUUUGAGACUCUGGGUUCCAUUCCCAGACUGGAAAAAAAAAAAAGAACUCAUAUUGAUAAAGGAUAUCUAAAGUACAUAAAGAACUUUUAAAGCUGAACAAUACAAAAGAAGUUAACUCAAUUUAAAAAUGACCUAAGGACACCUCAGCAAUAAAUAUUUCCUGAGUGAACAAGCGAAAGGGCUGUCAUUAGCUGGACCACCUUCUCCUUUCUCCAGGACCUGGGUGGAAGGACACAAGAGCCAGCCAGCAGGGCAGGAGAGCCCUGCUCCUGCAGGCGGUGCACCAAGGAGAGCGCCCGCCAGCGCCCCCUGGCGCUCCACCACAGCGGGACCACGAGGACUGGAGCUUGAAGGUGCUGGUGGGUCCUCCCCACUCACCCCCAGGAAAGCGCCCCGCGUGGCUUCCAG